AUUGAACGCUGGCGGCAUGCCUUACACAUGCAAGUCGAACGGCAGCACGGGUGCUUGCACCUGGUGGCGAGUGGCGAACGGGUGAGUAAUACAUCGGAACGUACCUUAUCGUGGGGGAUAACGCAGCGAAAGCUGUGCUAAUACCUCAUACGCCCUGAGGGGGAAAGCGGGGGAUCGCAAGACCUCGCGCGAUUAGAGCGGCCGAUGCCUGAUUAGCUAGUUGGUGGGGUAAAAGCCCACCAAGGCGACGAUCAGUAGCUGGUCUGAGAGGACGAUCAGCCACACUGGGACUGAGACACGGCCCAGACUCCUACGGGAGGCAGCAGUGGGGAAUUUUGGACAAUGGGGGCAACCCUGAUCCAGCAAUGCCGCGUGAGUGAAGAAGGCCUUCGGGUUGUAAAGCUCUUUUGUCAGGGAAGAAACACCGGCUCUAACACAGUCGGGGAAUGACGGUACCUGAAGAAUAAGCACCGGCUAACUACGUGCCAGCAGCCGCGGUAA
rnacentral:rRNA from 1 species